rnacentral:rRNA from 1 species
UACGUAGGGUGCAAGCGUUGUCCGGAAUUAUUGGGCGUAAAGAGCUCGUAGGCGGUUUGUCGCGUCUGCUGUGAAAACUCGGGGCUUAACUCCGGGCCUGCAGUGGGUACGGGCAGGCUAGAGUGUGGUAGGGGAGAUCGGAAUUCCUGGUGUAGCGGUGAAAUGCGCAGAGUAUCAGGAGGAACACCGGUGGCGAAAGGCGGAUCUCUGGGCCAUUACUGACGCUGAGGAGCGAAAGCGUGGGGAGCGAACAGG